rnacentral:tRNA from 1 species
GGCAGGGUGAUUCAGAGGGAAGAACUCUAGUUUUGGAAUCAUCAGACCUGGGUUCAAAUCCCAAUUCUGCCA